rnacentral:rRNA from 1 species
AUUGAACGCUGGCGGCAGGCCUAACACAUGCAAGUCGAGCGAGCGGCGGACGGGUGAGUAAUGUAUGGGGACUGCCCCAUAUAGGGGGAUAACUCCUGGAAAAGGUGGCUAAUACCGCAUACUAUCGGAUAACGCAUAUGGGGUUAGCUCGUGGGUGAGGUAAUGGCUCACCUAGGCGACGCUCCCUCGCUGUUCUGAGAGGAUGAUCAGCCACACUGGGACUGAGACACGGCCCAGACUCCUACGGAGGCAGCAGUGGGGAAUAUUGCACAAUGGGCGCAAGCCUGAUGCAGCCAUGCCGCGUGUAUGAAGAAGGCCCUAGGGUUGUAAAGUACUUUCAGCCGGGAGGCGUUACCGGCAGAAGAAGCACCGGCUAACUCCGUGCCAGCAGCCGCGGUAAUAC